GGUGGGGGCGGGGUUUGCCGCCGGCCGGCGGAGGCGAUGGCGGCGCGAGCCGGCCUCGGGCCACAGGGGAGCUCACGUCGCCGGCUGCUGCCAGACGGGACCCGAGGGCAUUCUUCAGUGAAGCUGGCAAUUUUUCCUUUAGUUUUCCUCCUGCGAGUGCAUGGCGGCGAGGACUCUCAUCCCACUGCUCUGAUGUGCGCUCCAGUCCCCGCUCUCAGCCAUGAAAAGACCCCUCAUCAGAACCUGCCCAUGCUGAGACUCUGAUGUCAGACUGCCAGACUCCAGAACUGUGAGGUCAAUGUCUGUUGUUUAAGCCACAGUCUGUGGUAUUUUGUUUUAGCAGCCCAAGGCAAUGAAGACAAGGGCUUAGCUUACAAUUGUUGUGAAAUCCUAAUUAUUUGUGUAGUAAAACAUACCAAUUAAGAGCAUAGACUUGGGGGGCACCUGGGUGGCUCAGUCAGUUAAGCAUCUGGCUUCAGCUCAGGUCACGAUCUCACGGUACGUGAGUUUGAGCCCCUGUCUGGCUCUGUA